rnacentral:rRNA from 1 species
GAUGAACGCUAGCGGCAGGCCUAAUACAUGCAAGUCGAACGGUAAGUGUAGUAGCAAUAUUAUACGAGAGUGACGUACGGGUGCGUAACACGUAUGCAACCUACCCUUUACAGGAGGAUAGCUCGGGGAAACUCGAAUUAACCCUCCAUAACAUAUUGGUGUGGCAUCACAUUAAUAUUAAAACUCCGGUGGUAAAGGAUGGGCAUGCGUCUGAUUAGUUAGUUGGUGCGGGUAACGGCCCACCAAGACGAUGAUCAGUAGGGGAACUGAGAGGUUGAUCCCCCACACUGGCACUGAGAUACGGGCCAGACUCCUACGGGAGGCAGCAGUAGGGAAUAUUGGUCAAUGGAUGGAAGUCUGAACCAGCCAUGCCGCGUGCAGGAAGAAGGCCUUCUGGGUUGUAAACUGCUUUUGCCAGGGGAUAAAAAGACCGUGCGGGUUAAUUGAAGUACUUAAUGAA